CUCUUUUUUUUUUUUUAUUUUUUUUUUUUUUUAAGACAAUCAUAUUGUCCUUGGCUCUGCAGUUGGGUCUGAUAUUAUAAGAUAAAAUGACAAAGCCAUAGUAAUUCUCCACCCUGUGUUGAAAACAAGUGGGAUUCCUCUUCUUGGCACCUGGAAAGGUGCCCAGAAAACCACUGGGGUACUCCGAUACCCUCAAGCACAGCCUACUCAGCCCUUCUGUGCUUACUUUAUGUGAACCUGUAAAUGCUUAUGCAACCUCUAAAGAACAGACAGCUAAAGAUGGAGAAUCCAGGUCCACCACUUGUCUUCCAAAGUAUGAUGCAGCAGCACUGAAAGGACUUUGCUCUGCUUUAGCCCUGACCAUUUCACAAGGAUGUUUAUGAAAAGUUACCUUUUCAUGACUCAUCUGUGAAACCUGACUGCAAAGGUCCUCGCUGUUUGCCGAAGGUGUGAGCUCCUAAAAGGGUUGUGAUGCCUGGGGAUGUCUGCAGCACUCAGAAGCAGUCUUGGGAGAACUAUGCUGUGGUGUAUUUACUACUCUCCAGGAAAUGUCACACAAAACAAACAGGCAUAUGCAUGUCCAACUGACUGAACAUCUGCUUCACCAUAGGCCAGCGUGUUCCCACUUGCCCUACUGCAUCCCAGUUAUCCUGGGAUUACAGAUUUGCCUGCACCACGCAUAAAAUUUGUGAAUUCUGGAUGGAUUUCUCUUGCUCCUGGACAAAAUAACCACGUGGGAAAAGUGAAAUAUGUUUAAGGAAACCCAGACUAUGGUAGUCUAAUCCAGACCCAACUGAGAGCACCUUCUCCUCUGGUGACAGUAUUCUGUGAAAGAGUCACAGCAGCCAGGUCAGCCUUAAUAGUCUCAAAACUCAAGACAUUGUCAGCACUUUAUUCUGUCUUCUACUGUCCUUGGUAUCCUUGCCAUCGACAGUGCCAGGAGCUGGAGGGCAAACAGACCUGGAAGUUAUUUUCCUUAUACCCUGAGGAAGGCCUGAAAGAAGUUUGAUGGGCGCCUUAACUCCUGGAAAUACCAGCUCUCGGGUAUGGCUCCACACAGGUAUGAGAUGACCUCCCCAGCACAUGCUCUUGGCUUGUUUGUGUUCUGUCACUUUCAGUUCCAUCCAUGAGCUGCUUUCUCUUGCUCAAAGAGCAGAAAAUUAACCUGGGAUUGGAGUAGAUGAGGGGUUUAAAAACAAACCACAGAAUAAGGCAUUUGAGCAGAAUUAGGUCAUUAAAAAGUACCCUAUGUGGGUCAAACAGAGCACAAAUACAUGGGAGACACAUCACAGCUGGGAGCAGAGGGAACUGGAGUGUCUUUGACAGCAAUGAGAUCCUCUCAGCUCAUCCAGAGAACCACAACUGAGUGGUGUGAUGGUCUCACUCCAGGGAAGGAGUAGCUACGAACCAGCCCUUGCCUCAUUCCCUUGUGUGUAGGCCUGCACAUCUCUAUCAAUGGCUGGAUGCACAUCAUGGGCUGCGCUGCACCUGGUUGGAGCAGGGAGGAAUUCAGUCAACAUUGAGGUCAGAUGGGAGAUGGGUUUGUAAUCUGAUCAAGAAGUCUGGGGGCAAGAAAUCCCACUUAGCAUGCUUGGCUCCUAUAUUGCACACUCUUCAGACCAUGCCAGCCUUCUGCUCUUUCUCAGUCCCCAGGGAGCAGCAAAGUCCAAAGCAGACACCAUCUGCCACCCAGCAUCUCCUAUCAUGUUUACACACACAAAACAUUAACAGCAGAUCCCCACUGCAGUAGGGGAGAGGUGACACCAAAAGAUGUGGGAGCUGGGACCUUCAUGCAUCCCACUGCUGGCUGCCAGGAAGGACACUUUUCUUCUAAUUCCAGGUGCAAACAGCAAAACUAUCAGAUACCAGGCUCCCAUCUGCCACAUGGACACCAAGCCCUGAGCAUGCACGACUCUUCGUGGAGCCAAGAGUGUCCACUGACAUCCACCCUGAUUCAGCAACUGGCUUAGCGUCAGUGACAACUUUCCACAGACUUUAUGCGAGGGCAAAGGCUAAAUAAUACCAUCAUUUACCAACCUGGAUGUUCACUGUGUAUCCUCUUUCCUCCCGGGCACAUUCCCUGCUCUGAAAAUACAAGCAAGAAAUGAGGUAGUCUGGCUUUAAGCUGAAAAUACUUAACCACAGCAUGAGCUGUCUAUGUUUCCAGGACAGAAAUGAUAUACAAGUGCGCAGAGAGAACAAUGCUGUGGGCUCCUGUUCCAUUCCACAUGCCUGCACUGGGAUUUCCCAUCAUGAGCAACACAAACAUCAGAGAAAAGACUUCAGCUCUGGGCACUGCUCUUAGGAAAAGUGCCAGACAGUUUGAGGAGAAUUCGGUGGACAGUGGUACAGACCAGUGAUCAAAAGUGUGUGACCUGCUAUGAAAUCCUAAAAGCUUCAGGGUGGAGAUGGAGGGAAGCCAUGACAGUUGGCUUCAAACAGGUAAAAAGUUACUAGAAAGAGGAUAUAAAUAAUUUGUUUUCAAAGUCUAGGGGAGACAGAGUCACAAACUGUCUAACAUCACAGGAAUGGGACAGGGAAGGGCAUGAAUCUCUAUCAGCAGCAUUUCCCAGGCAGACUUGAUAAAAACCAAGCAAUGACAACAGAGCUAUGGCUGACCCUGAUUCAGACAGGAAACAAGACUCAGAGCUAGAACUCAGAGAAAUCACUUGUGACUUCAUGUGCAGUAAGCCUGCCAUGUCCAGAGUAUGGCAGGGCUACACCCGCUCAUGCUGGUCACAAUAUCCCCCUCAGCAGGGCACCCAGUAUCUCUUUUUCAAGCAAUUUCAAUUGCAAUACUUAAUGUCAGAAUUGCAAUUCUUAACAUCCAGCGCAAACCAGCUGAAUCAGAUAUAGCUACUGCAGAACAAUCUGUUUCUUUAUGGUUCCAAUAGCCAUGCUACAAGCCAAGCUGUUCUGCAGUGGCCAUCAUUCCUGCUGUUAACAGUCCAGAGUAGCUCCUUUCAAAUAUGUAUCACUGUUCAGGGUCACUUUUAAGAAUGGUAGACAAAAGUCAAAAGUUUCAUUUAAGUUCACUUGUUUGAUGUAGCAUUUGAGUUUAAACCUUCUCUACUGCCCUCAUGUAAAAAAGCAGGCUCUAUUUCCCCGAGAAUAACCUCAAUAACUCUGUGAGACUACAAAAAGGACACACAGAGGGAAGAGACCAUCCUGUCCAGCUGCAGAACUGAAGGUGAUAGCAAGUAAAAGGGGUGGGACGUUCAGAAGCAGAGAUCACACCAUGUCAUGGAAAAAGAAGGAAACCAAGGAACAAAAGCAUUCAAAGUGGAAUGAAAUGGCAUCUGGAGAACUCACAGGAGUUGAGGAAGCCCAGUGGGCACAAGAAACUUCUCUUGACGAGGCCACCUGGAGCUCCUUCAGGGAAGGCAUCCAAGGUCCCUGGCUACAGAAAGUUUCUCAGACUAACCAGGCUGAAAAAUACCUCCCUUUUUGCAUGGCUCUCCAUGGCCAUUGUGCAUCCACCCAAUAUAUGUCCAUCAAGACACAAGUCCUUGGCCUCUUCUGUCCCUACUCCAACACAGAUUAACAUUUCACUGACUCAAGGCCGUAGAGGGAGGAGGCUCACCAUUGACUCCAGUGAUACAAACAGGCAUCCUACUCCACCAGCUACAAGACUACAUUUAUUCAAAGCCUUUUUUACAAGUUUCAUCCAAAGUAAGCCUGUGCAAGCACAAGGUCAGUACCUGUAGCACAUCAUUUUAGAUGAGGGGUCUCUCACAAGACCUUAUUGCAAUCCUGGUAUUGAAGCAGAGCAUAUAAAGGCUCCAUGGAUAGCAGAAGCAGCACUCAAUUCAGCCAAUGCAGACUUUCUAGGAUAAGUAACAGUUUGUAAGCUCUAACAGAAAGCUCUCCAACUCUGCCUGCCUUCAGCUAAGCAGGGGGAGAACACACUGCCUGUCUGUGCCCCUGAUCUCAGGACUAUUUCAGUGAUCAAAGGACAGUCAAAGCUCUUCUGGAGACCAGAAUCUGGCACAGUAUCUCCUCAGGAACAGACUUGCAUCCUCUUCUCAUGCAAACACACACAGAGAUGCUCACACUCCUCAGAACACCCCAUGCCUGGGCUGAGAGCGUUCCAGUUCAUCAUAUGUGCAAUGUGGAUGGCAUAUGCCUCUCACCAAACAGUGUUUUCUGUUUUCUUGUGCUGCUCACCUCUAAGCAGGGUACAGACACAUGCCAAUGAAUUAAUAAUGGUUAUCUUUGCUUCGUGCUCUCCCAGCUUUGCUCAAGAAGCCUCCCUUCUCCUCGAGACAUGUACUCCGCCUGGCCUGUAUUGCUCCUCCUGCGUGAAAGCUGCCUUGGCAUCAGGAGACACAGGCUGAAAUCCAGUGAGAUAGGAGAGACAUUCACAUUCCCAGUAUCCCAGGACUGCUGGUUUUGUUUCUCAGAGCCAGCUAACAUGCACUGCAAAUUUCAUGACAUGACCCCACGUGGAACAGAUUGUAAAAGAGAACUCCAUACCUCAGGAGACCUUGCCUCAGUGCACUCCUGGGGAAAGCACGUAAUAUGACAAUCUUCCAAACACCUUCAAGUACUGCUUUCUAUUGUUUAGAGGCAGGUUUCCAAGCGCUGCCUAUACCUCAUCUGCCACUCUGAAAAUCACUUCAGAUGUUCAAGCGAUCCAGCAAAUCAAGAGAAUUUACAGUUCUGAAGGACUUUUCUGAGGUUCUCAUCUCUUGGAAGUUAGUGAUAAUUUGAAGAGCAGAGAGACCAACAGAAGAAAAUAAAUUUACCCCUCAUUCCUUCUCUUGCAUGCAUGGUCAAAAAGAGCAAAAAAAUGGAGAAAGGAAGGAAUGCAAAUGCUCAUAAGAGGGAUUUUGAAAGUUACAGUGAACACUUCAAUCUGAAAUGCCAUGAAAACUUUUCAUUUCCCUUUUCAUUUUGUCUUUUGGAAUGCUGAACUUGUGUUGCACUGGUAAUACCUUUUCCCUUUCAACUUCAUCAUUUUUAUGUGGUUUUUCUAUAGCCAAAAACCCCAUAGGGCAGCCUUGCUAGUCUCUUGUGAGCACUGUUUGCAGACAUCCAAAGAGAGUGCCACAAGAGACUGAAACUUCCAACUCCAUGCAAUUAAGCAGAGUGAAACUCGCACACGGAUACACAACUAGAAGGUUCCAGAGGAGACACAUAUCCUAUUCUCAGCCCUGUAUCAGCAGUCCAUGAAAUAAAAUCGUUAAAUACACUCAACUCCAAGUAAUAAAAUCAAAAGCAAGAAUC
rnacentral:lncRNA from 1 species